rnacentral:rRNA from 1 species
GACGUAGGGCGCGAGCGUUGUCCGGAUUGAUUGGGCGUAAAGAGCUCGUAGGCGGCUCGUUGCGUCGGCUGUGAAAACCCGCAGCUCAACUGUGGGCCUGCAGCCGAUACGGGCGGGCGUGGAGUUCGGUAGGGGAGACUGGAAUUCCUGGUGUAGCGGUGAAAUGACGCAGAUAUCAGGAGGAACACCGGUGGCGAAGGCGGAUCUCUGGGCCUUACCUGACGCUGAGGCGCGAAAGCUAGGGGAGCGAACAGG